UAUUGGCAAACAGAAUAAUCUGAUCUUGUGUUUUCGGACUGAGAAAUGUGUCUGGAUGUCUCUGCGGCUACUGCGAGUUAAAAAUGCGCUGUUAAAGUUGUUUCUAGUCAGCUGGAGCUGCAUCUGUCGAUAUCAGCGUAAAGAAAUGCAUUCAGAGCUGACACAGCUGAGUUAUUCUUCGAGGAUGUGCGCCUCCCAGCUGAUGCCCUCUUAGGAGAACUCAACAAAGGUUUCUGUUACCUGAUGAAUGAACUCCCUCAGUCCCCCCAGGUCCUCGGCUUCUGGAUUGCUGUCUGCCCUCCUGGCUGGGUCGCCAAUUAUAUUGUGGCAAAAACAGGACUACUUUU